CGCAUGCGCAACAAAAUCCGCCCUGGUCGAAAUCGGAAUUCAAAGUGCGCGUAACAAAAUCAGUAAACCCUGAUCGGAAACGGAAUUCAAAGUGCACAAAAGAAAAUAUGGGAAAACCCAAAGCGAAGAAUCAAAUCGUGAAGCGGCCUAAGGCUAAAAGAGUAAUGAAGAAGACAGCUGUCAAAAGACAGAGGCUACCCCCUCUCAAAAGUGUUCGAAGAUCGGCUUCCUUAGCAGUCACGAAAAAAAAGGUUACCAUGGUUAAAUACCAGGUGCAAUUCCGUAGACAUUACAAUACUGUUCGCCGUCGUUAACUUCAGAUGGCGAGGACAAUCGAAUCGUAAAUCCCAUACAUUUUUUUGUUUUAAUCAUAUUGAAUCACUGUAAAGUCAUAAAUGAACAUAACCUUUAUUUAAAUAGCCAUAACCCACGAGUGCUGAUGCAACAUCGUUAAUUUCGUGCUCUGUGUUAGAAUUAUUAAAGGGACAUUCCUGAGUUUGCUGCACUCUUUAAGAUGUUAUCGACCAAUAGAGACUUUUUAACGAUUGUAAUUGCAUAUCAAAUAUAUUUUUCUGCAUAAAAUAUUAGUGGCUGUAUAUUA